rnacentral:rRNA from 1 species
CCUACGGGAGGCUGCAGUGAGGAAUAUUGGUCAAUGGACGCGAGUCUGAACCAGCCAAGUAGCGUGAAGGAUGACUGCCCUAUGGGUUGUAAACUUCUUUUAUAUGGGAAUAACAUGUUCCACGUGUGGGGUCUUGUAUGUACCCUAUGAAUAAGGAUCGGCUAACUCCGUGCCCGCAGCCGCGGUAAUACGGAGGAUCCGAGGGUUAUUCGGAUUUCUUUGGGUUAAAGGGAGCGUAGGUGGAUUGUUAAGUUCGUUGUGAAAGUUUGCGGCACAAACGUAAAAUCGCAGUUGAAACUGGCAGUCUUGAGGAGAAUAGAGGUGUGCGGAAUUCGUGGUGUAGCGGUGAAAUGCUGAGAUAUCACGAAGAACUCCGAUUGCGAAGGCAGCACACUGGACUGCGACUGACGCUGAGGCACGAAAGUGUGGGGAUCAAACAGGAUUAGAUACCCUUGUAGUC